GACGAACGCUGGCGGCGUGCUUAGCACAUGCAAGUCGAACGGAAAGGCCCUGCUAUUGUGGGGUGCUCGAGGGGCGAACGGGUGAGUAACACGUGAGUAACCUGCCCUAGACUUUGGGGUAACUUCAGGAAACUGGGGCUAAUACCGGACAGGAGACCCCGCUGCAGGGAGGGGGUGGGAAAGUUUCGGCGGGUGGGGAUGGACUCGCGGCUUAUGAGCUUGCUGGUGGGGUAGGGGCUUACCGAGGCAUUGGCGGGUAGCCGGCCUGAGAGGGAGACCGGCCACCUUGGGACUGCGGUACGCCCCAGACUCCUACGUUGGACAGCAGUGGGGAGUAUUGCACAAUGGGCGGAAGCCUGAUGCGGCGACGCCGCGUUCGUAAUGACGGCCUUCGGGUUGUGAACCGCUUUAGCCUGUGACGAAGCGUUAGUGACGGUACUGGGUAAAUAAGCACCGGCUAACUACGUG
rnacentral:rRNA from 1 species